UGGGGAAUAUUGGACAAUGGGGGCAACCCUGAUCCAGCCAUGCCGCGUGAGUGAUGAAGGCCUUCGGGUUGUAAAGCUCUUUUGGCGGGGACGAUGAUGACGGUACCCGCAGAAUAAGCCCCGGCUAACUUCGUGCCAGCAGCCGCGGUAAGACGAAGGGGGCUAGCGUUGUUCGGAAUUACUGGGCGUAAAGCGAGUGUAGGCGGUUGCCGUAGUCAGGUGUGAAAGCCUUGAGCUCAACUCAAGAAAUGCACUUGAUACUGGGUGACUAGAGGACCGGAGAGGAUAGUGGAAUUCCCAGUGUAGUGGUGAAAUACGUAGAGAUUGGGAAGAACACCAGUGGCGAAGGCGGCUAUCUGGACGGUUACUGACGCUAAGACUCGAAAGCGUGGGGAGCAAACAGGAUUAGAUACCCUGGUAGUCCACGCCGUAAACGAUGGGUGCUAGACGUUGGCGAGCUUGCUCGUCAGUGUCGCAGCUAACGCGUUAAGCACCCCGCCUGGGGAGUACGGCCGCAAGGUUUGAAACUUAAAUGAAUUGACGGGGGUCAUAGCUGUUUCCU
rnacentral:rRNA from 1 species